rnacentral:rRNA from 1 species
CCCUUAGAUGCUCUGGGCCGCACGCGCGCUACACUGGUCGAUGCAACGAGUUUCUUUCCUUGGCCGACAGGCCUGGGCAAUCUUUGAACAUCGAUCGUGAUCGGGAUAGAUUCUUGUAAUUUUUGAUCUUAAACGAGGAAUUCCUAGUAAACGCAAGUCAUCAGCUUGCAUUGAUUACGUCCCUGCCCUUUGUACACACCGCCCGUCGCACCUACCAAUUGAAUGGUCCGGUGAAAUCUCCGGACUGGCGUGAGUCGGAGCAAUCUGACAAACGCCGGAAAGUUGAUUAAACCUUACCAUUUAGAGGAAGGUGAAGUCGUAACA